rnacentral:rRNA from 1 species
UACGAAGGGGGCUAGCGUUGCUCGGAAUCACUGGGCGUAAAGCGCACGUAGGCGGAUUGCUAAGUCAGGGGUGAAAUCCUGGAGCUCAACUCCAGAACUGCCUUUGAUACUGGCGAUCUCGAGUCCGGGAGAGGUGAGUGGAACUGCGAGUGUAGAGGUGAAAUUCGUAGAUAUUCGCAAGAACACCCGUGGCGAAGGCGGUUCUCUGGGACGGUACUGACGCUGAGACGCGAAAGCGUGGGGAGCGAACAGG